AUACGGAGGGGGCUAGCGUUGUUCGGAAUUACUGGGCGUAAAGCGCGCGUAGGCGGUUAGAUAAGUGGGAUGUGAAAGCCCCGGGCUCAACCUGGGAACUGCAUUCGAAACUGCGUAGCUAGAGUCUGAUAGAGGGAAGUGGAAUUUCCGGUGUAGCGGUGAAAUGCGUAGAUAUCGGAAGGAACAUCAGUGGCGAAGGCGACUUCCUGGAUCAAGACUGACGCUCAGGUGCGAAAGCGUGGGGAGCAAACAGGAUUAGAAACCCCGGUAGUCC
rnacentral:rRNA from 1 species